AUUGAACGCUGGCGGCAUGCUUUACACAUGCAAGUCGAACGGUAACAGGCCGCAAGGUGCUGACGAGUGGCGAACGGGUGAGUAAUGCAUCGGAACGUGCCCAGUCGUGGGGGAUAACGCAGCGAAAGCUGCGCUAAUACCGCAUACGAUCUAUGGAUGAAAGCGGGGGACCGUAAGGCCUCGCGCGAUUGGAGCGGCCGAUGUCAGAUUAGGUAGUUGGUGGGGUAAAGGCUCACCAAGCAAACGAUCUGUAGCUGGUCUGAGAGGACGACCAGCCACACUGGGACUGAGGCACGGCCCAGACUCCUACGGGAGGCAGCAGUGGGGAAUUUUGGACAAUGGGCGCAAGCCUGAUCCAGCAAUGCCGCGUGCAGGAAGAAGGCCUUCGGGUUGUAAACUGCUUUUGUACGGAACGAAACGGUCCUGGUUAAUACCUGGGGCUAAUGACGGUACCGUAAGAAUAAGCACCGGCUAACUACGUGCCAGCAGCCGCCGCAGUAA
rnacentral:rRNA from 1 species